UCCCCCAGCCAUGUCAGCUGUGUCUGCUCC
rnacentral:piRNA from 1 species